CCGGAGGUGGCAGAGUGGCCAAUUGCAACAGACUGUAAAUCUGUCGGGUUUUCCCUGCGAAGGUUCGAAUCCUUCCCUCCGGACCA
rnacentral:tRNA from 1 species